CCACCGGUGAUCAAACUCGACCUGCUGAAGGAUACCGAGGUGAUGCUGGAGGCUAAUCAGACGGAGAUGGCCUUUGAGGACAACUGGGACUACUACGUGACCAAACAUGCUCUCUUCACUCCGCAAAAAGGAGAGGAAAGCUGAUACCUAAUUUCUUCGCACUCCCUUGUUUCGGUUGAAGGCAUGUCAUCGUUGGCAGAGUUGUGUGGCAUCCACUCGCUGUGGUGGUUUUCAUCAUCGCCAGGACAAGGUUGUCAACGUGCCUGUACCUGAGGCUUGGGCGUUGCCAGACCAACAGACUCCAUUUAUGAAUUUAAAUGAACACAAAACAAAAACCAGUGGUUUAUGUUCACAAAAUCCACUACCAAAACUAUAAAACACUUAGUUUUCACUCCCUGACCAUCUUUACAAUCAGAAAUCAUAUAAAAUGCAUUAAUUUCUAGCUCAGACUGUCAUAUAAGUUUAAAAUACUGUACAGUAGUGAUGCCGGUAACUCGUUACUUUAGUCUAAUAUGACCAGGUUUUGCUGUAACAAGUAAUCUGUUUACAUCUGUUUACAAACCAGUAAUCAGAUUAAAGUCACUGUGCAUUAUUAUUUUUGUCAUUUUCCUUCGCAAAAAGAUAUAUUUACCUUCUUCUUGCAUUUCGGGAGUGACAGCAUGCAUGCGACAAGUCACGUUUUUAGCACGAGAACAACUCGCGUGUAAAGCGCUGAUCAGACCCAGGGGCCAACUUACCUUAAGGCAAACAGGAAGUUGCGAUUCUAAGGGACCCCAAUUGUCUCAUGAAAACGAUGAAUACAGUUUUUUUCUAUUUGAAACAAUUAUUUUAGGGUUGUGCCGUUUAGGCGAUUUUUGUGAAUAAGUACAUGAUUGGCCAUUGCAGAUUAACGUCUUUUUAUGCCGAUCACAAACGCUGAUUCUCUCUGGUUGACAAGCUAGCAGCUCAUUGUAUAUCUCCAUACAGUGUGGAGCUGCUGCCCUAUAAAAAUCACCUCAAUUACGGCACAUAAACUGCAUUUUUUUGUAUCUUAAUUAUCAUUAUCAAAUAUUAUCACUGGAGGACGAGCCUCAACAUGUUACACGUUGAGAGAAGCUAUCUUGAAACAACACCAAUAAAGAAGUGCUUAGUAAAGUUUAAGAAGGGUAGAUGGAACUGCGUUUCAGCAGAAAGUAAACAGUUGUUAACUGGAAACUAGUAAGUAUAUUAAUAAGAGUCUAGGUAGAUUAUAAUUUUACAACAACUGCUGGUGUGUCAGCAUUGUCUCAGUCAGAUCACUACACUGUAAAUCGGUGGCGUCCACACCCAAGCUAGUAUCAGUAUGUGAUCGCUACUACAGUGAUCCGAUCGUUCUUUUUUUCUCAUAAUUUUUUUGGUUGCUUUCGUUAAUGUUAAUAAACUCAGGGAAUAAUUUGCUGGACACAGAAGUACUUUGAGGUAGAUACCCAAUGGUUGAAUGAGUAGCAGAUGGUAGUUUUUGCUUUUCUUUAGUUAUUGUGUACUAUUGACUUUAUUUUGCUUAAACAAUUUUGUGUAAUAGAAGAGAAUAGGGAAUUAUUUUAAAUAUUGUGUUGAUAUUAUCAAACUGUCAAUAGAAGUUACUAUAAAUAAAUGGAAAAAUGUACAGUUAAUACAUGUGAUCAGCAUUGGUAUCGGCUGAUCUCACUCAUGGAUGAUUGGAAUCGGCAGUAUAAAACCUUGAAGAUCCUUAAAUUAUUUAUAUAUUUUGUCAUAAUUUGUACGGUUAAAAUACACCAACAAUAAUUAACCAGUCAUUAUUGUUUUGAAAUAUCCCCCUCCCUGCUCACACAGUGGACCAUUUCACACUACUGGCAUGUUUAGGGGGACCAAAACAAAUUUGUUGGUGCAGUUUUGGGAUUUUUUAAAAAUUGUAUUAUUGAAAAUGAAGCGGAUUUACUUAAGCAGAGUGAAGAAUAUGGGAAGGCGAAAAGAAAACCAUCAGUUUUCAUUUAAACUACCGAAGGUAUCAAUCUUUUCCUCAGUGACAGUGAAUGUAUGUGAUCUACUCUGUAGGAAGCAGAAGUGACGCGUUUCAUCACAAAUAUGGUAAACCAUAUUUAAAACAAAUUAUUAUUUUUGACUUGACUAAUAAAGUGGGGAUAGGUUGAUUGGCAACACUAAAUUGGCCCUAGUGUGUGAAUGUUACUUUUUAAAUGAGUAAUUCAUUAUCAGAUUACUUUUUCAAAGAAACUGGCAACAUUGCUGUACAGUACUACGGUAUAAAGAGAAGUGCAUAUUAAAACAAAUUGAAACUACUCUACUUUUGGUUACUUUGUACCCAAUAAAGUUUUAGUAUCAACUAUCAACUUAAUAUGACAUGGUGAGUGUUUGUAAAUGUUUGACAACAACUGUACAUGCUAAAAAAAUGAACUGAUUAAAAGGCCGUAAGCUAGUCCACUGAGGCACACAAUAUCUUGGGCCUUUUGAUUCACGUUAGUAAUCAAUAAAUACAUGUACAGUAUGUUGUCAUAAUUUCUCAUUUUAAAUGUAGGCUGGAGAUAGGUUGAUUGGCAUCACUAAAUUGGCCCUAGUGUGUGAAUGUGAGUGUGAAUGUUGUCUGUCUAUUUGUGUUGGCCCUGUGAUGAGGUGGCGACUCGUCCAGGGUGUACGCCGCCUUCCGCCCGAAUGUAGCUGAGAUAGGCUCCAGCACCCCCGCGACCCCGGGACAAGCGGUAGAAAAUGGAUGGAUGGAUGGACACCCUGCCAUUAGGUCAAGCAAUGUCAAGUGCAUGUAAUGGUGCCCCCUGCUGGCCAUUCCAAAUUGUGUAUGAGAGCUACUUUGACCAAAAAAUAAAAGAGUAAUGAGCUAUUUGUGUAUUAUUUAUAUGAGUGGCAACAUUGAAAUUGUAAGCAGAUCUCCACUCAAUCAGUGCGGUCCGAUUCUUUUGGCUCUUUAGUUGUACAGUCGUCUCGCCACAUCAUGCUUCAAAUAUUGUAGCGUCACAACAUGGCAGAUUUUUUCAAGCAUAUUCUACGAUUGUUUGGUCUUAACUUAAGCAUUCUCAAGCAUAACAAUGGCUAAAUAAACUAAAAAUAUAAAUAUUAGUAGUAUUGGCCACUGGUGGAGACCAAACUAAUCAGAGCGUGCUGUUCAGUAUGUUGGCCACUGAUUGACUCAGUCUCAGGCUAUAUUGGAUAAUAAAAAGGGUGUAAAGGUGACUAAAGGGUGUUAUUUUAUGUCUAGAUGGCUGUUGAAAUGUUAAAAAACAUAUUUAUUUGACUUAUCAUUAAUGAUUCCUACUUCGCGCGACUUUCAUUUAUCACGACCAUGUCUGGAACCAAUGUACGGCGAUAAAUGAAGGACCACUGUACUUUGUAUUAUAAUUUGUCAUAUAAUUGAAGCACUAAUGAAAUGUUUCUUAACCAUAUGGCCAGGGGGCCCACUUUUGCACUGAGAAAUCGUGGGACGGUGUGGCUCGGUUGGGAGAGCGGCCGUGCCAGCGACCUGAGGGUUCCUGGUUUUAUUCCCCCGGCUUCAUCCAUCCUAGUCCCUGGGCAAGACACUUCACCCUUGCUCCUAAUGGGUUGUGGUUGUGUUUAGGGCCUUGCAUGACAGCUCCCGCCAUCAGUGUGUGAAUACUUUAAAGUAGGGCUGGGCGAUAUAUCGAAUGUACUCGAUAUUUCGCGGGUUUGUCUCUGUGCGAUAUAGAAAAUGACUAUAUCGUGAUAUUCGAGUUUAAGUUCUCACGCAGUUUCUUUUAGCUUUACACUACAGGCGUUUCUUACUCUAUCUGGUCUCUCCUUCUCACAGAAAUAAAACAAGCGCACCUUCUUACAUACGUGUCAUACGCCCUCACGGAGCAGAAAGGUAGCGGAAUGGGUAACAUUAGCUGUGGUGCGAGUGGUAAUACGAGAAAGAAGGUGCGAAUCUGGUAACAAAUGGAGGAAUAAUUAAUUCCCAAGAAAAACAGCAGGGGUCCAUGGUCUGGCCGUAGUUUGGCUUCAAGCGGGAAGAUGUUGAACAGACAACCGUAAUAUGUCAAGUAAAAGCGUUGCAACAAAAAGUAGCAUUACUGCUAAUUCGUAGCAUCAUUUGAAAAGUCACCCGCUAGAGAAUGAAGAGUGCUUGAAACUCCGCAUGUCAACAUCUCCGGCUGGCGCCAAACCCACAAAAUGCCCAAGCAACCUGCACAUCAACACCAUUUCCACAUCAACACCGUAUGAAAAAAAUAGUCAACAACGGAAGGAGAUAACGUCUGCAGUAACCUACCACAUAGCGAAGGACAUACACUAUUUGAUUUCCUAUUAUGCAGCUCAUUUUUAUUUGACAGUUAUUGAAAUAUCUUGUGUGACAUCAUGCACAAAAGUGCACUUUAUUUGUUUUAAACUAUUGUAGUGGCGUUCUGUACAAAAAGUGCACUUUAAUUUAGUGUUGUUUUGUUAUGUCAUCUUUGUGACAUCAUGCACAAAAGUGCACUAAUAAUAAUAAUAAUAAUAAUAAUACCUGGGAUUUAUAUAGCGCUUUUCUAAGUACCCAAAAGUCGCUUUACAUGUAGAACCCAUCAUUCAUUCACACACUAAUAGCUUGUUUUAAAAUGUCUGUGACAAUCUUGCACUUUCUGUUUUGGAAAUUAUAUGAAUGUUUGUGCCACUGCUUAAUACCUGUUUAAUAAAUACAGUUUUGGUAAAUUGACUUAGUUGGGAUUUCCCUCUGCAUGAAAGUUUACAAUUAGCAUAUAUUAACGCAUGAAGAAGAAUGUUUUAAUGUAGACACAUAGAAUCAUCAUACUGCUGUGAUUAUAUGCAUCAAGUGUUAAUUCAAGGCUAAGGCAAAAAUAUUGAGAUAUAUAUCGUGUAUCGUGACAUGGCCUAAAAAUAUCGAGAUAUUAAUAAAAGGCCUUAUCGCCCAGCCCUACUUUGAAGGUAGAAAAGCGCUAUACCAUUAUAACCCAUUUACAUAGAGGGCCGCCAAAAAAUAGCUGUUUCUCAGCUGUGGUCCUUGUGGGGCGCAGCGGUACGCCGUUGUAAUACACUUUUCCACCACGUGUGGCAGUAAUGACAACGUGAAACAAACAAGAAAUCUGGAGCUAAAGUCUUAGAGAACAAUUAUGACUAAAGUGGUGAAAUUGUAUUUUCAUUUGCGCGUUAAUUUUAUUGACAUUUUAGUUAAGAAACAUAUUCAUUUUGAAUUUUGUAUAUUUAUUUUAGCACAAAAUAAUUGUGUGUAAAUGUGUUUUUGUCAGUUAUUUAUGAGUCCCCUACUAUGCUUAUGUUUUUAAUCAGCCUGAUUUAGGCCUAAGGUCUAUGUGUUAAAUAAAUAAUAAUCAUGGUUUCAUAUCAUUUGACAGUGUUGUAAACUGUAAGUAGGUUAGAUAUAAUUCCAUCCAUCCAUCCAUUUUCUACCGCUAGUCCCUUUUGGGGUCGCCGGGGUGCUGGAGCCUAUCCCAGUUGCACUCGUAAUUUUAUAUAAAUUAAAUUUAAGAGUAAGAUGACUAAUUCAAUGUCAAUAUUUGAGUGGGUCCCGGCACUAUAGUGUAGUGGAAAAGUUGGGCCCCGAGGUCAAAAGGAUUAAGAACCCCUGCACUAAUGAACAUUAAUAAAAAACACCAAAAGUUGGAGCAAAUAUUAUGUUCCCCUUUGUAAAUAAUAUAACAAUGUCAACAGAAAAAAUACCAUGAUAUCUAAUCCACAACUGCAUUUAAUUAAUGUAAACACAUUUGAAGGCUAUGUUGGUCUGGAGUGAACUAUAUAUCGUUGUAGAUGAUUGCAUUUGACUUGUUUUUUCUUACUGCUGGUAUAAUUGUGAUAUGUUGGGCGAAUGACUAAGACUCAGGGUCUUCCAAACCUUUCCCGCAC